rnacentral:rRNA from 1 species
GACGAACGCUGGCGGCGUGCCUAAUACAUGCAAGUCGAACGCAGUGGGGACGGGUGAGUAACAAGUGGGUAACCUCCCAUCAGAGGGGAUAACACUUGGAAACAGGUGCUAAACCGAUACUGAUGGAUGGAACCGCGGUGCAUUAGCUAGUUGGUGGGGUACCGGCCUCCCAAGGCCACGAUGCCUAGCCGACCUGAGAGUGUGACCGGCCCCACGGGAACUGAGACACGGUCCAGACUCCUACGGGAGGCAGCAGUAGGGAAUCUUCUGCAAUGGACGAAAGCCUGACCGAGCAAGGCCGCGUGAGUGAAGAAGGUUUUCGGAUCGUAAACCUCUGUUGUUAGAGAAGCGGUAUCUAACCAGAAAGCCACGGCUAACUCCGUGCCAGCAGCCGCGGUAAUAC